GAUGAACGCUGGCGGCGUGCCUAACACAUGCAAGUCGAACGGAGCUGCUUUGAUGAAGUUUUCGGAUGGACUUAAAACAGCUUAGUGGCGGACGGGUGAGUAACGCGUGGGUAACCUGCCUCACACUGGGGGAUAACAGUUAGAAAUAGCGGCUAAUACCGCAUAAGCGCACGGUUCCGCAUGGAACGGUGUGAAAAACUCCGGUGGUGUGAGAUGGACCCGCGUCUGAUUAGCCAGUUGGCGGGGUAACGGCCCACCAAAGCGACGAUCAGUAGCCGGCCGGAGAGGGUGAACGGCCACAUUGGGACUGAGACACGGCCCAAACUCCUACGGGAGGCAGCAGUGGGGAAUAUUGCACAAUGGGGGAAACCCUGAUGCAGCGACGCCGCGGGAGUGAAGAAGUAUUUCGGUAUGUAAAGCUCUAUCAGCAGGGAAGAAAGUGACGGUACCUGAAUAAGAAGCCCCGGCUAACUACGUGCCAGCCGCCGCCGUAA
rnacentral:rRNA from 1 species